UCUUCAAAACCCAGAUCCCAAGUCUCCAGAGCAGCAUCAGAAGACAAUUCUGGAGGUGAAAGUGCUGGCUCCGAGCCCAAGACCAAUAACAAGACCCUGCGGCUAGGACUUGUGUUUGGUCUAUGGUACUUUCCGAACAUUGUCUUCAACAUCUACAACAAGAAAGUACUGAAUCUCUUUCCAUUCCCAUGGCUUCUUGCCUCGUUUCAACGCUUUGUCGGGUCUGUCUGGAUGUUCAUGAUCUGGUCUUUAAAGCUCCAACCUCGCCCAAAGAUUUCAAAGCCAUUCCUCAUUGCCCUACUCGGACCUGCACUUUUCCACACAAUAGGCCACAUCUCAACCCUGUAUUUCAUUCUCUAUGGUAGCUAUUUCUUUCACCCAUGUCAUUUAAUCCUCGGAGCCUGUAUCCUCGGUCGUGUUCUCGUCUUUCCUUGGCAAUACGUACCCUUUCCAGGAAUCCGGUUAGGCCUAUGAAUGGCACUUGGAUCCGCCAUUGCCAUAUUUGGGACGUUCUUGUAUUCUCUGGUAACAGCAGCUUCAAAGAAGAGUGGAGGUGAAAAGGAGGAGGAUUGAAAGGAAUCCUCCACCGCCACGCACACAAUAUCUUGUCAGUGUUCCUAUUGUACAUGUGUGAAUUACUAACUAGCUUGAGUCGAUC